AUUGAACGCUGGCGGCAGGCCUAACACAUGCAAGUCGAGCGGAGCGGCGGACGGGUGAGUAAUGCCUAGGAAUCUGCCUGGUAGUGGGGGAUAACGUCCGGAAACGGGAGCUAAUACCGCAUCCUAUCAGCUGAGGCUAGGUCGGAUUAGCUAGUUGGUUGGGUAAAGGCCUACCAAGGCGACGAGCCGUAACUGGUCUGAGAGGAUGAUCAGUCACACUGGAACGGAGACACGGUCCAGACGCCUACGGUAGGCAGCAGUGGGGAAUAUUGGACAAUGGGCGAAAGCCUGAUCCAGCCAUGCCGCGUGUGUGAAGAAGGUCUUCGGAUUGUAAAGCACUUUAAGUUGGGAGGCGUUACCAACAGAAUAAGCACCGGCUAACUUCGUGCCAGCAGCCGCGGUAAUAC
rnacentral:rRNA from 1 species